rnacentral:rRNA from 1 species
UACGUAGGGGGCAAGCGUUGUCCGGAUUUAUUGGGCGUAAAGAGCGUGUAGGCGGCCAGACAGGUCAGCUGUGAAAACUCGAGGCUCAACCUCGAGACGUCGGUUGAAACCGUCUGGCUAGAGUCCGGGAGAGGAGAGUGGAAUUCCCGGUGUAGCGGUGAAAUGCGCAGAUAUCGGGAAGAACACCCGUGGCGAAGGCGGCUCUCUGGGACGGUACUGACGCUGAGACGCGAAAGCGUGGGGAGCGAACAGG